GUAGGGUGCGAGCGUUAUCCGGAAUCAUUGGGCGUAAAGAGCUCGUAGGCGGUUCAGCAAGUCGGCUGUGAAAUUCCGAGGCUCAACCUCGGAACUGCAGUCGAUACUGCUGUGACUCGAGUCCGGUAGAGGAGAAUGGAAUUCCCGGUGUAGCGGUGAAAUGCGCAGAUAUCGGGAGGAACACCAGUAGCGAAGGCGGUUCUCUGGGCCGGCACUGACGCUGAGGAGCGAAAGCGUGGGGGUAGCAAACAGGAUUAGAUACCCUGGUAGUCCACGCCCGUAAACGUUGGAUACUAGGUGUGGGGUUCCGACCAACGGUCCCCGUGCCGAAGCUAACGCAUUAAGUAUCCCGCCUGGGGAGUACGGCCGCAAGGCUA
rnacentral:rRNA from 1 species